rnacentral:lncRNA from 10 species
GGAGCGGCGCGCGCGCGCCCGUCUUUCCCUCGGCGGCCCCCGCGGCUCGGACCCGGGCCGGCAGACAGGCCAUCCAUCAUCCGCCCUCCUCCCGCGGAGCGCCGCAGCCGCCGCGGCCAAUCCGGCGGCAGGUGGGGCCGCACCUGCGCGACAGCCCGCCGCUUCCCUCCGCUCCCUUCGCCGCGCCUCGCGUGCUAGCGGUGCCCUUGUGAGCCACUGCGUUCUCCAAGGCCAGAACGGGACAGUUGACGAUGGUCGUACUUCUCCAUGUUCUGAGACCAGUUUAAACAAAAACAAAAACCAGACAACAACCUUGCAAGGGAAAGAAUUCAGAGUAAAUAAACAGUCUUUUUCUGGGAAGUAAAAUAUUUCCCUAAGAUGGAGAAAUUGAGAUGAGAGCUCAUCCACAAGAUUACCCAUCAAUGAGCACCAAUAGCAACCAAAUCCACUAGAAGACUGGGAGCUUUUAAGUCAAGAAACUUACAUCAGUAUCAUCAUUCCAAGAAGCGGUAUCCAAGCUGUUUUAUCGAAAGUGCGCAUGGGAGAUAAGACUCUGAGAAUUUAUAGAAACAAACAUUAGAAGGCAGGAAUGUGGAGAGAAGAAAGCUACCUGACAAGGGAAUCUCAGGAUACAAGGAAAACACCAAGGAAUGUAAAUCUCUGUUUACCACAAGCCCUCUGUCUCCACAAGUUCUGUGUCCAGAACUGAAG